GCACUUUAUACUGUGAAACUGCGAAUGGCUCAUUAAAUCAGUUAUCGUUUAUUUGAUAGUACCUUACUACAUGGAUACCUGUGGUAAUUCUAGAGCUAAUACAUGCUAAAAACCCCGACUUCAGGAAGGGGUGUAUUUAUUAGAUAAAAAACCAACGCCCUUCGGGGCUCCUUGGUGAAUCAUAAUAACUUAACGAAUCGCAUGGCCUUGCGCCGGCGAUGGUUCAUUCAAAUUUCUGCCCUAUCAACUUUCGAUGGUAGGAUAGUGGCCUACCAUGGUGGCAACGGGUAACGGGGAAUUAGGGUUCGAUUCCGGAGAGGGAGCCUGAGAAACGGCUACCACAUCCAAGGAAGGCAGCAGGCGCGCAAAUUACCCAAUCCCGAUACGGGGAGGUAGUGACAAUAAAUACUGAUACGGGGCUCUUUUGGGUCUCGUAAUUGGAAUGAGAACAAUUUAAAUCCCUUAACGAGGAACAAUUGGAGGGCAAGUCUGGUGCCAGCAGCCGCGGUAAUUCCAGCUCCAAUAGCGUAUAUUAAAGUUGUUGCAGUUAAAAAGCUCGUAGUUGAACCUUGGGUCUGGCUGGCCGGUCCGCCUCACCGCGAGUACUGGUCCGGCUGGACCUUUCCUUCUGGGGAACCUCAUGGCCUUCACUGGCUGUGGGGGGAACCAGGACUUUUACUGUGAAAAAAUUAGAGUGUUCAAAGCAGGCCUUUGCUCGAAUACAUUAGCAUGGAAUAAUAGAAUAGGACGUGUGGUUCUAUUUUGUUGGUUUCUAGGACCGCCGUAAUGAUUAAUAGGGAUAGUCGGGGGCGUCAGUAUUCAGCUGUCAGAGGUGAAAUUCUUGGAUUUGCUGAAGACUAACUACUGCGAAAGCAUUCGCCAAGGAUGUUUUCAUUAAUC
rnacentral:rRNA from 1 species